CACCUUCGGGUGGUGGACAGUGGCGCACGGGUGAGUAACACGUGGGGACCUACCUAAUAGUACGGGACAACAGUUGGAAACGACUGCUAAUACCGUAUACGCCCUUCGGGGGAAAGAUUUAUCGCUAUCAGAUGGACCCGCGCUAGAUUAGAUAGUUGGUGAGGUAACGGCUCACCAAGUCGACGAUCUAUAGCUGGUUUGAGAGGAUGAUCAGCCACAUUGGGACUGAGACACGGCCCAAACUCC
rnacentral:rRNA from 1 species